rnacentral:rRNA from 1 species
GACGGAAGGUGCAAGCGUUGCUCGGAAUCACUGGGCGUAAAGGGUGCGUAGGCGGCCGUGCAAGUCUGGCGUGAAAGCCCCGGGCUCAGCCCGGGAAGUGCGCUCGAAACUGCGCGGCUCGAGUGCCGGAGGGGAGAGUGGAAUUCCUGGUGUAGCGGUGAAAUGCGUAGAUAUCAGGAGGAACACCGAUGGCGAAGGCAGGUCACUGGGCCGCAACUGACGCUGAGGAGCGAAAGCAUGGGGAGCGAACAGG